CACUUCAACAUAAAAUUUCAGAAACAGAAAAUUUGAGAGAGAGCUCGAGAAAGGUGAUCGGGAAGAGAGGUAGCUGCGCCACACUGCCACCUUGGAGUCCGCCGUCAGGUCCGAGUCGUAGAAAGAGAGAGGCGUGGAGUCAACGUCGCAUAGAGAGGAACUCGCCGCUGCCGUCGCGCGCCGUCGUGUGCUGUCGCUGCUGUCUGAGCAGUCAUCAUCACCUUAGGUGGAGUCCACCGCUGUCGCCAGUUGAGGCCGCUGCUGUGGAACAGAGGUGAGAGAGAGGCGUCGAGAGGGAAAACACGAUGAAGAAGGAGGCAUUGUUUCCACCGUCGUCAAGCCGCAACUCCGUCGCUGUCAUCAGUUGGGGUCGCCGUCAUUGUCGAUGAUGGAGCCGUCGCCGAUGCCUGUGUCGCCGUCGUCCUUACCAGCAGCGAGAGAGAAGUAAGAUGAAUCCCCUCUAUUUCUGCUGCUCUGGUCCGCUGAGAAAGGGAAGACGCCGCCAUUGCGCUUCACGGUCGCCGGUGAUGCUGCUUGCGUCACCGAAACUGCUCAGAGGUUUCCGUUACUCAUUUUGAUUCUGUCCUGUUUCGGGAAUGUUGCUGCUGCCACUGGUUCUGAAUUUUAUUACAUGGAUUCUGAGUUAUGUUUGCUUUUGAUUCUUAUCCAAUUCGAAUCCUUGUCUUGUUGCAACCAUUGUCACUGCCAUAAGAGAUUGACAAUGCUGCUGUUUCGGUUGCGUGCUUUCUGCUGCCAUAAAAUUAAAAGAGGGGAAGAACGCAGGAUGGUGAGUGUCUUCUUAGCCAUUGCCGUUCUGGUUCCGAUUCAUUCAUUUUCAAAACCGUAACCCCUUCCACUCUUGUUCUGUUUUAAAUUUUGUUCUCUGCUAUAUUCCUGUUUUACUCAUGGUAAUAUGUAUCUCUAAUUUAAUUCAGCCCCUUUGCUUCACCUGUUUGUCUACUGCAAUCAUCUGGAAUAUUGGCGUUGGUGCUAUUACGGAUCUUCUAUUUACACAUUUUAUUGU